rnacentral:rRNA from 1 species
UGAGGAAUAUUGGUCAAUGGGCGAGAGCCUGAACCAGCCAAGUAGCGUGCAGGAUGACGGCCCUAUGGGUUGUAAACUGCUUUUAUGCGGGGAUAAAGUGAGGGACGUGUGCCUUUUUGUAUGUACCGUAUGAAUAAGGACCGGCUAAUUCCGUG